GCAGAUUUAGUUUAUUAGAAUGAUGGAAUGUGGUUCCAUAGGAUUGAUGUUUGUA
rnacentral:tRNA from 1 species